CAAGUUUGAACAUUCCAGCGUGACGAGUAGGCUUCAUUCAGUAGAAUUGAGAAGCUGAGAACAGCAAGUAUGCUGCAAGUCUAGACAGAGUGGUGUCUUGAGGACUGUUUGGUUACAUCUGUUGUGGUGGUUACCUCCAUGGGAGCUUCUCAGGCAAACUCAGGAUCCCUUAUCUCCCUCAUCUGGAAGCUGAAGAAGGGCUUGCCAGCUCCUCGCUUUGUUGUGCAUGAGAUCAUAAGGUUGGCUCAUAACCAGACUACAUCUCCCUGGAUGCACUGUGGUCCCUGGAUUCCCAUGGUGCAAAGCAGCAGCUCACCUGGGAGGUGGGGGGAACCUGAAUAAAACAUUUAUGCUAGGA